UACGAAGGGUGCAAGCGUUACUCGGAAUUACUGGGCGUAAAGCGUGCGUAGGUGGUGAGUUAAGUCUGAUGUGAAAUCCCCGGGCUCAACCUGGGAAUGGCAUUGGAUACUGGCUCGCUAGAGUGCGGUAGAGGGUGGUGGAAUUCCCCGGUGUAGCAGUGAAAUGCGUAGAGAUCGGGAGGAACAUCUGUGGCGAAGGCGGCCACCUGGGACCAACACUGACACCUGAGGCACGAAAGCGUGGGGAGCAAACAGG
rnacentral:rRNA from 1 species